UCUCUCUCCCUACUACACACUCACGAAAAGAAAACAGAGAAAAAGAAAAGUUGUUUAGCUUUUCCUCUCCACCACACUUUCUUCAUCACCUUCGCCGGUAAACACUCCGCACACCACCGUCCAAACGCCAUAUCACCUUCACUUCCGACACCUCAUACUUACCAUCAAAACCAACAACCGUCUUGGACUACAGCCGUUAACAUCUCCGUCGCCGAACCUUCGUCACCACCAUAAACCCUCCUUAUUCUUCAACUCUCAAACGGCUACUCCUCACAAAUCCUUCCGAUCUCCUUAUUCCGACAAAGCAACCGC
rnacentral:lncRNA from 1 species